UACGGAGGGUCCAAGCGUUAUCCGGAAUCAUUGGGUUUAAAGGGUCCGUAGGCGGUUUAGUAAGUCAGUGGUGAAAGCCCAUCGCUCAACGGUGGAACGGCCAUUGAUACUGCUAAACUUGAAUUAUUAGGAAGUAACUAGAAUAUGUAGUGUAGCGGUGAAAUGCUUAGAGAUUACAUGGAAUACCAAUUGCGAAGGCAGGUUACUACUAAUAUAUUGACGCUGAUGGACGAAAGCGUGGGUAGCGAACAGG
rnacentral:rRNA from 1 species